AGUCCAUGAUGAGGGACCUUCCUUAAUAACUCCUUGUAACGCUCCCAUGUUUCAUACAAUGAUUCCCCGUCCUACUGAUAGAAGGUGGUGAUAUCAUUCUUCAUCUU
rnacentral:snoRNA from 1 species